rnacentral:rRNA from 1 species
GAAGGUGGGCAAGCGUUGUUCGGAAUCAUUGGGCUUAAAGCGCACGUAGGCGGACUGGAAAGUGUCUUGUGAAAACCCACGGCUUAACCGUGGAAUUGCUUGGCAAACUAUCAGUCUUGAGGCAAGUAGGGGUACAUGGAACUCUUAGUGGAGCGGUGGAAUGCGUAGAUAUUAAGAGGAACGCCAAUGGUGAAGACAGUGUACUGGGCUUGUACUGACGCUGAGGUGCGAAAGCGUGGGGAGCGAACGGGAUUAGAUACCCCGGUAGUCCACGCCGUAAACGAUGUCUACUAGAUCGUGGGAGUUCUGACACUUUCACGGUCGAAGCAAAAGUGUUAAGUAGACCGCCUGGGGAGUACGGUCGCAAGGCUA